UUAUUUAUUUAAUAAUUUUAAUAAUAGUUUAAAUUUUCAUAUGUUUAUUUUAGAGAAAUUAAAAAAACAGGUAAAUAUACAUGGGCUAUUUCGGCUUAUUAAAAACAAAAGUGUUUUUAACAUAAAACAUGUAUUACCUUCUAAUGGAAGUAUAAACGUGAAUAGUACAGACAAAAAAGUUUUGGAAGAUAGUACACCUAUACCAAGUGAUGAGAAAAGUGGUAACACAAUUGCAGUUGGGACAUACACAACUGGAACGGAUCAAGAUGUGUCCGAAAGAAACAUAAACAAUGAAAUCAUAAAUGAAAAUAAUCAAGAAAAAUGUAAAAAAAAAAAUAAAACAAAUGAUGAAAGUUCCUUUUCAGAAAAAAAUAAUUUUAAUUAUUCAUAUUCUUCUUAUUGUACACCUUUAAAUAUAUUUACUAGUUAUAACAUGGGAAUAUAUAAACAAAAUACUUAUUAUGAAAAUCGUAACAAUUAUUUAUUUUAUAAUGUAAUAGAUGUAAAUAAUAAUGACUCUAAAAGUAUUAACAUAGCUGAAUCAUUGGAAUUUUUUAAAAAUUUAUUUCUUUUUUAUCCUCCUUUCGAAAUUACAAAACAUAUAAGAUAUAUAAAUGAAUUUAUUUUUAAUAAUAUACAAAAUUUAAUUAUUCCUAAUGUUAGACCAUUUCGGAAUAAUAUUGUUAUAACAUUGUUGUCUAAUUUGAAAGCUGAUCAUAAUAUUUUAAAAAAAAUUUUAAUUAAUAUAGAAGGGGUAUUAAAAUGUAUAAAAAAUUAUCAUUUUUCAUUUUUAGUAUCUAUAUUUCAUGUAUUAAAUCAUCAAAAUUCGUUUAAAUUAAAUAUAAUAAAAUUUUAUGAACUGUUAAUAAACAUUCAGAAAAUUUUAAAAACUAAUUUGAAUUUAUCUACAUCUAAUUUUACGUAUACAUCUGAUUUAAAUUUAUUUAAUGAUUUUGUUUAUUAUCAUGAAAAUGAUACAUAUAAUAUUAUCAAUGAUAAUAUAUUAACUGAAUAUAAUAAAGAUAUAGAAAAAAAAAGAAAUGAACUUUUACAAGCUGUUUUGGUCCAUUAUGGAGAAUAUAACGAAGGAAAAAAAACGUAUGACAUAGAGUUAUUAAAUAAGGUAUUAAAAAUUGAUAAUAACAAUGAUAUUAUAGGAAUAAAAAAAAAAAAUAAAAAAAAAAAUAUAAAAAAAAAUGGGUCAACAUUCGAAAUGGGGACUUAUAUUUUAUCUGGUCAAAUGGGAGAUGAUGACAUGUUACCUAACCGAAUUGACUCAAUCAAACCAAAUGAAAAAAACGAACAAAAUGAACAAAAUGAACAAAAUGAACAAAAUGAACAAAAUGAACAAAGUUUUCACUUUUUUCAUCCUUUAAAUAAAAAAUCAGAUACUAUGAAAAACAUUUAUGUAACAGCGGAAGUGCAGCAACAUAUUAGAAAUUAUCUUUUAGCAAUUGAUAGAAAAAAAAAAAAAAUUAAUGAAAUAAUAAAAAACAUUAAUAUGCAGUUAUCUUCGUCUGUUCAUAUACUUUCCUUUGUAUCGAACUUUCUUCAGAUAAUUCAGGUGCGUUUGUUUUUAUAACUAUUAUUAUAGUCUUUCAUUAUGUCACUAUGUUGGUAUUAUACGUUAUUGCAUUAUUUGGGCAUUAUAUUUGUGGUUAUACCUUGUGCAUAAGCACAUAUAUAUGUAUGUAAGCAUGUAAGCAUGUAAGCAUAUGUUGUGUA
rnacentral:lncRNA from 1 species